CCGAGCGCACUGCACUGGAUUAGCCAAUUUUAUUUUUACCUCCUCACCAUUCAAUAUGUACAUUGACUGCAAAGUCCAGGCGCGAGCAAACUAUUGUAACUCGGGAAUCUUGAUUUUUUCGCCAUAUCAUAAUGAAUAUUGAGCUAAAUUUUGAUUUAUUUUGCCGCUCUAGGCUCUAGUCAGAUGUCUAAUGUCCGUCCUUAUUUGAGGAUAAUAGCCACUCUCUUAGAAGAAGCUAGUUUCUUGGGCCAAAAAAGAGAUGGGUCAGAGUCUUGAAACCGAAAUAUAGCCCACAUAAACCACCACCUUACAACAUCGGCUUUAAACCAAAGACAGGUUAGACUGUCGGUCCUCAUCUCUGUUCUGGUUUUGGCCCUGUCUGAGAAAGAAUUUUCUGUUUCACCGUAUUGAUUGAAUGCGCUCGAUCCCGACUACGAAGGCUUCGCUAUAAUUUGCAGCAAUUUCAAAUUUCUACUGGGUAUCCCCUCCUUUUCCUCAGCUUCCAAAGCAACAAGCUCGUUAGUCCUAGCUCUUUCUAUUCUUUCAGCUACAUAUAAACAAACGAAGAAAGGGUACGAGAGAAAGAGAGAGGGGAGGAAUGGGAGAAGGGAGAAGGGAGAGAAGGAGACUGGGAAAGCAGCGGUUGCAAGAACUGGAACUACGCUUUUAGAUCUUUCUGUAACAUUUGUAAGCAGCCUCUUCUUGUUGACACUAAAACUCCAGCUGACUCCAAGUGGCUUCCUCGUAUUGGUGAUUGGAUCUGCACUGGCCAGUUUGUACUUCUCUCCAAAACCUUUCUUGUAAUGGUUUUUUCUUAUCUCUUCUUGGCUGUGUUUACUCAACUGGUUUUGCUUUUUAUUCUUUUUCUUCUUCUGUUUUAAUUCAAUUAUUGAGCUUAUGAAUAUAUAUCGAAGGUGGGUUUUUCUUUUUUUUAUAACGGUUGGGUUCUGGAGUUUAUCUUGGAUCUGAGUUUUGAUAAUAAGUUGGGGUUUCAUUAGCUGAGAUGGAACAAAGGGCAUGUCAAGAUAAGAUAUUACUUUUCCCAAGUAAAGAUUUGCAAUGUGCUUUUUUUAAACAAUGACUUGAGGGAGCUUUAUUGAGCUUGUUUCUGCAUUAGUUUUGUUAAUUUGCCAUAAAGCAACUGUUUGUAUAUCAUUUGUCGACUAAGUUGCCAUUGGGAAAGCAUAAUCCUUUGCCGUCGUCUGUUUAUGAAUGCAACCUGUUGAAUGAAUAUACUGAUAUCUGCUUUAUGAAGUUAGGGUUAGGAAAUCAGUAUCAAUUAGGUUGAGUGGUUUGUGUUUUUUGUAUGUGUACUUUGGCAUGCGUAUACUUGGCUUCCUUGCCUUCUUCGUGGCUGCAUUGUGGGUUGGGAUAUGUGUGGCAAUGGAUCAAUAGGUUGCACUAACAACAAUUAUGCAUCAAGAAAAAAGUGCGGGCAACCAAAGGAGGUAGCAGCAAUGCCAGCAAUUGCAAUGCCUGGAGCUUCUCUCCCAACUUAUUCACAUUAUUUUGCCAGGGCCCCAGGAGCAGUGGAACAAAAGAUGAAUGUUGGAUUUGUGGGCAGUGUUGCUUUCUAACAGUCGCUUCCUUUGAGUUCCAACUGGUCUGUAUGUGGGGCUGAUAAUUAUGGACUUCAAUUAGCUUCUUCUACAUGGCCUGUAGCUGGAAACCAAACCCCUGGGAUUCCAUAUGUGAAUUCUGGUAAUCAGGCUCUUUCUGUACUAAAGGGAUGGCGAAAUGGUGACUGGAUUUGCAGCUGUGGCUUCCAUAAUUACUCUUCACAGUCACAGUGCAAAAAUUGCAAUGCAUCCAUACCACCAGCACUUGGAACCAAGAGAUUAGCAUCUGAGGAAUUUGUACAUGGCUGGGAUAACAAAAGAUUGAAUUCAGGACAUGUAAGGAAUCAGUUUCUGUUGUGGCAUGUACUCCUGAACUACUUUAUUCCCCCUUACUGGGUUUGCGAGGUAAUGGUGAGCCGCAGUUUUCCAGAUUUGACCAAAUGGCAGGAGCCACCAGCAACCUUAACUUGUAACAUAUCCUCCCUAUCCCAGUCUAAACCCUGGUGUAGCUUCAAAUUGGCAGGCACCCAUCCCUUUCCUUAUCAAGCUGCAACACCAACCCUUCUUGGAAAAGGGUAAAUUUGGACCAAGUUGCCGCUUAUGUACAUGCUUGUCAUUUAUCUUGAACAAAUUAGUGAUUCAUUUAUGAGGAUAUAUGAUAUUUUAAUCUUUUCUCAACUUAUGGCAAUGAUAUCAAAUCUUUCUUUUUUUUUUUUUGUUCAAUCCUUUAAUCUUUUUGGAUCUUGCAACUGAUUUUUAAUUUCCAGAAGUACCUCUGAGAUUAAUUUAGGUUGCUUC